AAUCUGUCACGGAUAGUCCAGUGGGAGGUCAGCCGUUAAGUCGAUAACCUUGCUUAGGUAAUUGCCAGCGGGACCGGUGCCUGGUACGAAUCCUGGGGUCGUCGUUGUACUCGUGCGAGUAAUCCACGAUGCUACAAGGCGCUAAGCAAUGGAAGUGACCCUUGAGGGAAGCAAUUCUGCAGAGACAUUUCCACCCCGGGAUGGCGUCGCCAGAUUACACCGUCCCGUUACAGGGAAGUUGGCAGUUUGGCUGGACAACUACUAUU
rnacentral:SRP_RNA from 1 species